AAGCAAUUACCGGCGAAUUUCCGCAAAGUCUUACUUGUUCAGACGAAGAAGUUUGUUGCUUCUGGAAAGCUCGUCAAAGUGAAAGCCUCUUUUAAGCUGCCUUCGGCAUCUGCCGCAGCUAAGAAACCGGCCGCCGUAGCUAAGAAGCCUGCCGCCGCGAAGCCUAAAUCUGCAACUACCACUGCCGCCUCAAAGUCCAAGCCGAAGGCGACUAAAACCGCGUCGAAACCGAAAGCCAAAGCCAAAGUUGGAACGCCUGUGAAGGCAAAGGCUAAAGUUGCGGCGAAACCGAAGGCAACUACAACUAAGGCCAAAGCUAAACCAGCGGCUAAGCCAACUAAGGUAGCGAAGACGGCGAAGAAGAGUUCGCCAGGGAAGAAAGUAAAGGUUCCAGCAAAGAAGACAGUCGCUGUCAAGAAGCCGAAGAGUGUUAAAUCUC
rnacentral:lncRNA from 1 species